AACGUAGGUGGCGAGCGUUAUCCGGAUUUACUGGGCGUAAAGGGUGUGCAGGCGGGCUGUUAAGUGGUGCAUGAAAUCUCCGCGCUUAAUGUGGAGAGGCUGUGCCAGACUGGCAGUCUAGAGUACGAGAGAGGGUUGUGGAAUUCCGGGUGUAGUGGUGAAAUGCGUAGAGAUCCGGAGGAACACCAGAGGCGAAGGCGAGUCCCUGGACAACUCCUGACACUGAGGCACGAAAGCUAGGGGAGCAAACAGG
rnacentral:rRNA from 1 species